rnacentral:rRNA from 1 species
UGACCGUACUAAGGUAGCAUAAUAAUUUGCCUUUUAAUUGGAGGCUAGUAUGAAUGGUUUGACGUGAAAUAUACUGUCUCAACUAUAUUUAGUAGAAUUUAACUUUUAGGUGAAGAGGCCUAAAUUUUGUGGGAAGACAAGAAGACCCUAUUGAGCUUUAAAUAUUUGUGUUAGUGGGAACCUAAGGUUUAUAUGAUGGUCAUUACUUCUAAGUAUGUUGGUUGGGGCGACCGAGGAGUAUAAAAUAACCUCCUUGUGACUCAAAGAAUUUGUUAUCAACGAACCUGUAAUAUAGGUUAUUCGGUAGUUACCAUAGGGAUAACAGCGUAAUUCUUUUGAAGAGUUCAUAUCGAAGAAAGAGAUUGCGACCUCGAUGUUGGAUUAAGGUGUCCUAAGGG